CGGGGCGUAGCGCAGCCCGGUAGCGCGCCACGUUCGGGACGUGGAGGUCGUAGGUUCGAAUCCUGUCGCCCCGA
rnacentral:tRNA from 4 species